rnacentral:rRNA from 1 species
GCUACGGGUGGCAGCAGUGAGGAAUAUUGGUCAAUGGACGAGAGUCUGAACCAGCCAAGUAGCGUGAAGGAUGACUGCCCUAUGGGUUGUAAACUUCUUUUAUAAAGGAAUAAAACGAGGCACGGGUGCCUUUUUGCAUGUACUUGAUGAAUAAGGAUCGGCUAACUCCGGGACAGCAGCCGCGGUAAUACGGAGGGGUCAAGCGUUAGCCGGAUUUACUGGGUGGAAAGGGAGCGUAGACGGUGAGACAAGUCUGAAGUGAAAGCCCGGGGCUCAACCCCGGGAAUGCUUUGGAAAAUGCCUGACUGUAGUGCUGGAGAGGCAAGCGGAAUUCCUAGUGUAGCGGUGAAAUGCGUAGAUAUUAGGAAGAACACCAGUGGCGAAGGCGGCUUGCUGGACAGUAACUGACGUUGAGGCUCGAAAGCGUGGGGAGCAAACAGGAUUAGAGACCCCGGUAGUC